rnacentral:piRNA from 1 species
UGGUACACAUAUGAACAUACAUGCAGGUA